UGUCCUUUUCUGCUAAUUGUAAAUUCUCUUCUAGAAUGAAGUACACUUUCCCUUUCUCUCAGAACACAAGCUCAUCUGAGCUACAUUUGAUGAAAACGUACUAGAAUGCACUACUUCCCCAAUUUCUCUCUUUCUCUUUUUAAGUGCAAGCCUAACUGACCUAAAUUUUGAUCAAACCUACAUGAUUUCUUUUAGCAUAUUUCAUGGAGGUUACUCACGAUUCUAGGUAUUUUGCUCCGAUUAUUUGGAUACUUGUCGAUGUCUCUUUCGAUUUUUCGCAAUUACAGGUGAUAAUAGUCAACAUCAAUGGAGCCUCUGCACUGAUAGAAAAACUUCUCCUACGAUACCAACACGCGAGUAAGAUUAAUUCUUUACACUGCUGACAGAGGAGGCAAUUGUCAAAGUAUUUGCUUCAACUUAAUGGUACAGAAAAUGUCUAGUGGCAAGCUCGGGACUAAGGUACCUGGAUUAUCAGCUCUGAACCGAAUAGCAGUCCAACCACCCGUCGGAACACCUACAGUAUUUCUUUCUACAGGAUCAA